UACGUAGGGGGCAAGCGUUGUCCGGAUUUAUUGGGCGUAAAGAGCGUGUAGGCGGCCAUUCAGGUCAGCUGUGAAAACUCGGGGCUCAACCUCGAGACGUCGGUUGAAACCGUUUGGCUAGAGUCCGGAAGAGGAGAGUGGAAUUCCCGGUGUAGCGGUGAAAUGCGCAGAUAUCGGGAAGAACACCCGUGGCGAAGGCGGCUCUCUGGGACGGUACUGACGCUGAGACGCGAAAGCGUGGGGAGCGAACAGG
rnacentral:rRNA from 1 species